GGCCACUCUGGUGGCUUAAGUGGUUAGAGUAUCCAUCUCAGAUGCAGGAGGUUGUGGGUUCGAAUCCCAGCUGAGUCA